AAGCUAUUAAUUUCAAUUGAAU
rnacentral:tRNA from 1 species